AUCGCUUUUCGGCCUUUUGGCUAAGAUCAAGUGUAGUAUCUGCUAAUAAUAAAUUAAAAUGACUAUAGCUUCAUGGAAGCUGUCAAAUACACCUCAGACAAGCAGUUUUGCUGCAGUGGUCACNGUGGGCUUCUCAUCAACUUGUAAAGCAGAUUCGCAGCACCACU
rnacentral:snRNA from 1 species